rnacentral:rRNA from 1 species
AUGGCGAUCACCUCCCAGGUUCCCGACAUCAUGGGCGAGCGCCAGUCCGGCCAGGACGUCCGCACCCAGAACGUGUCGGCGUGCCAGGCGGUGGCCAACAUCGUCAAGUCCUCGCUCGGCCCCGUCGGGCUCGACAAGAUGCUGGUGGACGAUAUUGGUGAUGUCACGAUCACGAACGACGGGGCCACCAUUUUGAGGAUGCUGGAGGUCGAGCAUCCGGCCGCGAAGGUUCUUGUGGAGCUGGCCGAGCUCCAGGACCGGGAGGUUGGAGAUGGAACUACCUCCGUCGUCAUCAUUGCUGCAGAGUUGCUCAAGAGAGCAAAUGAACUUGUGAGGAAUAAGAUUCACCCGACCUCUAUUAUUAGUGGCUACAGGCUUGCUAUGCGCGAAGCUUGCAAGUAUGUUGAGGAAAAGCUGUCUGUCAAGGUGGAUAGACUUGGAAAAGACUCCCUUAUAAACUGUGCUAAAACUAGCAUGUCCUCGAAACUGAUUACCACGGACGGUAAUUUCUUUGCAAAUCUGGUUGUAGAAGCAGUUCAAGCUGUGAAGACUACAAACUCCAAGGGAGAAGUGAAGUAUCCAAUCAAGAGCAUUAAUAUUUUGAAAGCUCAUGGUAAAAGUGCCAAGGAAAGUUACCUGCUGAAUGGUUAUGCGCUGAACACUGGCCGUGCAGCUCAAGGAAUGCCUACCAGAGUAACCCCUGCUAGAAUUGCUUGUCUUGAUUUCAACCUUCAGAAGACGAAAAUGCAAAUGGGUGUUCAAGUCCUUGUAUCCGAUCCAAGGGAACUUGAGAAGAUCCGUGAGAGAGAAUCUGACAUAACAAAGGAGCGAAUUCAGAAAGUUCUCAAGGCUGGUGCUAAUGUUGUAUUUACCACCAAGGGAAUUGAUGAUAUGUCAUUGAAGUACUUUGUUGAGGCUGGAGCAAUUGCAGUAAGACGUGUGCGCAAGGAGGACUUGCGCCAUGUUGCCAAGGCUACAGGUGCAACAAUGGUGACUACUUUUGCUGACAUGGAGGGUGAAGAAACAUUUGAUCCAUCAUUCCUUGGACAUGCCAGUGAGGUUGUUGAGGAAAGGAUUUCUGAUGAUGAAAUAAUUCUGGUGAAAGGCACAAAGAAUACAAGUGCGGUCUCCAUUAUACUUAGAGGAGCAAAUGAUUUCAUGCUAGAUGAGAUUGAACGGUCUUUGCAUGAUGCACUGUGCAUUGUGAAGAGAACUUUGGAAUCCAAUACGGUAGUUGCUGGCGGUGGUGCUGUAGAAGCCGCAUUAUCUGUGUACCUGGAGAAUCUUGCUACAACUCUUGGAUCCAGGGAACAGCUGGCGAUUGCUGAAUUUGCAGAAGCUUUGUUGAUCAUACCGAAGGUCCUCGCUGUUAAUGCCGCAAAAGAUGCAACUGACCUUGUUGCACAACUUAGGGCAUAUCAUAAUAAAGCUCAAACCAAUGCUGAUAAGCAGCACUUAUCAAGCAUGGGUCUUGACCUGACGAAAGGUGUAAUCCGCAACAACCUUGAACAUGGCGUGAUCGAGCCAGCAAUGAGCAAAGUGAAGAUCAUUCAGUUUGCCACAGAAGCAGCCAUUACCAUUGUGAGGAUCGACGACAUGAUCAAGCUCGACAAGGAAGAGUCUGGCCAAGAAGAGUAG